UACGUAGGGGGCGAGCGUUGUCCGGAUUUACUGGGCGUAAAGCGCGUGUAGGCGGCCGGAUAAGUCGGGUGUGAAAGCCCGGGGCUCAACCCCGGGAUGCCGCCCGAGACUGCUCGGCUUGAGGACGGAAGAGGGGCGUGGAAUUCCUGGUGUAGCGGUGAAAUGCGUAGAUAUCUGGAGGAACACCGGUGGCGAAGGCGGCAUCCUGGACCGACACUGACGCUGAGGAGCGAAAGCCAGGGGAGCAAACGGG
rnacentral:rRNA from 1 species